GGUUGGGAUGUCACUGGAGCGGGGCUGAAUCACAGCCUUGUCCUCGCUGGGGGCCUGCGACUGGCUCCUUUUAUAGAUCGUUAAGAGGAUGCAAAUGUCGGUGGGGGGAGCCAGGCGCUCAGGGGGAGGCAUGUUUUCCUGCCUGAAUUUGGGAAAUCACACAGAAAAGAUGCAUCCGAGCCUUGGCAUUGUAGCUCUGCCAAGUCGCCCCCCCUGACUGAUGUGUCCUGAUCAGAGCUGUUUGCCCCACAGGAAAAGAAUCAGCUUUCUAUCAAGUGGACUCUGGGCACCGCCCCAGAGAGCUCAAACUCCAAGGAUCUAAAGAGACCCCCGACAACUACGAAGGGCUGACCUGGAGCGUCCCCGUCUGGAUGGCAUCCCUGGAAAAGGCUGGAGUGUUUCUAAAGAGGCUGUUCAGACAUCACAUCACAGUCCCAGACGGCCGAGAGGUUCUUGCACUCACUUGGCCGCCCUCCCUGGGAAAUGCUUUGGAUCAGACAGCAUCUCUGGGUUGUUUUUGCCUGAGGAAAGUGGUAAGAAUUCAGCAAGAAUCCUAUGGUUGGAGGAAAAGUCAGUGGAUUUACUUAAUACAAGUAUUUGGAAAGGACCAUCCAGGGGUGUGAGGGGCAGUGUGACAGGGCGGGACUGAAGACAGCAGUGUGGACGAGAAGGUCUGCAGAUGAGGGGAACUUGAGGCAAAGAGAGAGGAAUUUAAAGACAAAUGGGUUGGCAUCUGGAGGAGAUAGAAAGGGUUUUUUAGGGUCUAAGAAGUUCAAAGUAGCUGUGCUAGGUUGCCCCUGCAAGCACCCGUCAACAGUCUGGUGCCGGAGAGGUCUCCCCGAGGAUCUACUGGUCCUUCAGCCCCUCCGCCAAUUAGCAGAUACUUCCUGAGGGCCGCUGAGCCUGGAUGCUGAGGCUGGGAGGGUCUCCUUGGCCUCAGAGCUUUGGUGGGCAAGCCAGUGAUGGUGCCCUGGGGUGGAAAAGCAAGGAAAGAGGGUGAACAGAGAGUGUGCAGUGGGAGGGAAGCAACAGCAGAAGCCUGAGCUGAGUCUUCAAGGAAGAGCCGGGAGUCAGCCAGGCAUCCCAGGAGGAAGGACAGCUAAUCCAGGCAGAGGGCACGGGCUGUGCACACGCCGGGAGAGGAAGCAUGCCCCCUCCCUAACCCCAGGGACAGCUGGGACAAUGACUGCGAAGGAGCCGGUGCCCAAAGAGGGAGAGGCCAGCCCCGCAUUCUUUGCUUUUGACUCUCAUGAUUUUCUAACAGCCGGGCGAACGCGGGCUGUGAAAACCUCUUGGCAGGAGGGCCUCGGGUGAGUUGAGUUCCAUCCAUUCUGGCGCAUUAAUUCAAGGUCUGGCCCCUGGCUUUGGUGCUGGGGUGAGCCCCUCGGAGACUGUCUAUAGGCUGCCCUCUCCUUUCAUACCUAACGCUUUCCUGAAAAUACACUGGUCUGACAUGCAAGACGCAAGUAGCCGGCUUGCACGGUCUAAGGGAAGGUUCUGUUCCCAGGAACCUGAACCAUAUUAUCACUAUAUUUUCUGGGUUUCCAGUCUCAUGGCAUCUCCCUUACCCCAGCCCUGGAAAAUCUGCCCUUUAAAUCAAUGCAGCUUUAGAAUUGAAGAAAUAUGGUAAAUCGCUCAUCAUACUCCACCUUUAGAUUGAAUCUUUGACCGUGCAUGUCCAGGAUUUCAUAUAUACACUCUAGUUGUAUGCUUUCCCUUUACAAUUGAACACACAGUUGACUGGCUUACAUCCAGUGAGCACUUGAUGGAGGCUAAAUAUUCCCCAUGUUCGGCAUGCCUAAUGGUUUCCAUCUUUGUCUCAAUUAUAUUCAGUUUAUGAGACCUGCCCUUCUUAUCACUAUCAUCAGCACUUCAUUUUCCUGUUUUCCACUCAUUCGUAUAAAAUAAUAAGGUCAAAAUGCAAUAAACUAUUCAAAUACUUGCACACACGCUGCUGAAUGGUCAAAAAGUGACACUGCGGAAACUGAACUCUUGGCCACCAGGCUGCCUUCUCCUGCGAUGGCUUGAAACCUUAGUUCAUCCGACAACCUGGGACAGCUUGAAACCAGCGGUUGGUUCAAGGGGGUGGCAAUGGGAGGGGUGGUAUAGGUCAAUGUAGAA